GACGAACGCUGGCGGCGUGCUUAACACAUGCAAGUCGAACGGUGAACGAGGGAGCUUGCUCCCUCCGGAUCAGUGGCGAACGGGUGAGUAACACGUGAGCAAUCUGCCCCGAACUCUGGGAUAAGCGUUGGAAACGACGUCUAAUACCGGAUACGACGCGGGAGGGCAUCCUCUCCGCGUGGAAAGAACUUCGGUUGGGGAUGAGCUCGCGGGCUAUCAGCUUGUUGGUGAGGUAACGGCUCACCACGGCGCCGACGGGUAGCCGGCCUGAGAGGGGGACCGGCCACACGGGGACUGAGAGACGGCCCAGACUGCUAUGGGAGGCAGCAGGGGGGAAUAUUGCAGAAUGGGCGCGAGCCUGAGGCAGCGAUGCCGCGUGAGGGACGACGGCCUUCGGGUUGUAAACCUCUUUUAGCAGGGAAGAAGCGAAAGUGACGGUACCUGCAGAAAAAGCACCGGCUAACUACGUG
rnacentral:rRNA from 1 species